rfam:Lepisosteus oculatus linkage group LG27, whole genome shotgun sequence.
UGUCCUUCGCGAAUCUUUUUGCGGUCUGGGCUUGCUGUUUAUAACUAUCAAGCCGGGAAGCCCUUACCCCAAAAAGCAUUUGCGGAGGGCG